rnacentral:tRNA from 1 species
GGUCAGAUGGCCGAGCGGUCUAAGGCGGCAGUUUUAGGCACUGUUCUUUCGAGGCGUGGGUUCGAAUCCCACUCUGAUCA